GAUGAACGCUGGCGGCGUGCUUAACACAUGCAAGUCGAACGGAAAGGCCCUGCUUUUGUGGGGUGCUCGAGUGGCGAACGGGUGAGUAACACGUGAGUAACCUGCCCUUGACUUUGGGAUAACUUCAGGAAACUGGGGCUAAUACCGGAUAGGAGCUCCUGCUGCAUGGUGGGGGUUGGAAAGUUUCGGCGGUUGGGGAUGUACUCGCGGCUUAUCAGCUUGUUGGUGGGGUAGUGGCUUACCAAGGCUUUGACGGGUAGCCGGCCUGAGAGGGUGACCGGCCACAUUGGGACUGAGAUACGGCCCAGACUCCUACGGGAGGCAGCAGUGGGGAAUAUUGCACAAUGGGCGGAAGCCUGAUGCAGCAACGCCGCGUGCGGGAUGACGGCCUUCGGGUUGUAAACCGCUUUCGCCUGUGACGAAGCGUGAGUGACGGUAAUGGGUAAAGAAGCACCGGCUAACUACGUG
rnacentral:rRNA from 1 species